UAGCCAUGCGNCCNUUGGUAGGCUUUGCCUACCGGCGGACGGCUCAGUAACACGUGGACAACCUGCCCUCGGGAGGGGGAUAACCCCGGGAAACUGGGAAUAAACCCCCAUAGGUCAUGGAGGCUGGAAGGUGCCAUGACCGAAAUUCCGAAAGGAGCCCGAGGAUGGGUCUGCGGCCUAUCAGGUCGUAGUGGGGGUAACGGCCCCACUAGCCUACGACGGGUACGGGCCCUGAGAGGGGGAGCCCGGAGAUGGACUCUGAGACACGAGUCCAGGCCCUACGGGGCGCAGCAGGCGCGAAAACUCCGCAAUGCUCGAAAGAGCGACGGGGGGACUCCGAGUGCCUACGCUUUGCGUAGGCUUUUCCCGAGCCUAAAAAGCUCGGGGAAUAAGGGCUGGGUAAGACGGGUGCCAGCCGCCGCGGUAAUACCCGCAGCUCGAGUGGUGGUCGCUUUUAUUGGGCCUAAAGCGUCCGUAGCCGGUCUGGUAAUGCCUGGGUAAUCGUCUGGCUUACCAGACGGCUCCAGGUAANUGCCAAAUUGGGACGGAGGAGGAGAGGUACUCCAGGGUAGGGUGAA
rnacentral:rRNA from 1 species